AUACGUAGGGGGCAAGCGUUGUCCGGAAUUACUGGGCGUAAAGCGCACGCAGGCUGAAUUAUAAGUCGGUAGUCAAAGGCGGAGGCUCAACCUCUGUAUAUCUAUCGAUACUGUAAAUCUGGAGUAUGUGAGAGGGAAGCGGAAUUCCCGGUGUAUCGGUGAAAUGCGUAGAUAUCGAGAGGAACACCAGUGGCGAAGGCGACUUCCUGGCACAAUACUGACGCUCAUGUGCGAAAGCUAGGGCAGCGAACGGGAUUAGAUACCCCGGUAGUCCUAGCCGUAAACGAUGGAUACUAGGUGUGGGUGUCGCAGGGCAUCCGUGCCGCAGUUAACGCGUUAAGUAUCCCGCCUGGGGACUACGGUCGCAAGACUGAAACUCAAAUGAAUUGACGGGG
rnacentral:rRNA from 1 species